UUCCGGUUGAUCCCGCCGGACCUGACUGCUAUCGGAUUGAUACUAAGCCAUGCGAGUCAUUGUAGCAAUACAAGGCAUACGGCUCAGUAACGCGUAGUCAACCUAACCUAUGGACGGGAAUAACCUCGGGAAACUGAGAAUAAUGCCCGAUAGAACACUAUACCUGGAAUGGUUUGUGUUCCAAAUGAUUUAUCGCCAUAGGAUGGGACUGCGGCCUAUCAGUUUGUUGGUGAGGUAAUGGCCCACCAAGACUAUUACAGGUACGGGCUCUGAGAGGAGUAGCCCGGAGAUGGGUACUGAGACACGGACCCAGGCCCUAUGGGGCGCAGCAGGCGAGAAAACUUUGCAAUGUGCGAAAGCACGACAAGGUUAAUCCGAGUGAUUUGUGCUAAACGAAUCUUUUGUUAGUCCUAGAAACACUAACGAAUAAGGGGUGGGCAAGUUCUGGUGUCAGCCGCCGCGGUAAAACCAGCACCUCAAGUGGUCAGGAUGAUUAUUGGGCCUAAAGCAUCCGUAGCCGGCUCUGUAAGUUUUCGGUUAAAUCUGUACGCUUAACGUACAGGCUGCCGGGAAUACUGCAGAGCUAGGGAGUGGGAGAGGUAGACGGUACUCGGUAGGAAGUGGUAAAAUGCUUUGAUCUAUCGAUGACCACCUGUGGCGAAGGCGGUCUACCAUAACACGUCCGACGGUGAGGGAUGAAAGCUGGGGGAGCAAACCGGAUUAGAUACCCGGGUAGUCCCAGCUGUAAACUAUGCAAACUCAGUGAUGCAUUGGCUUGUGGCCAAUGCAGUGCUGCAGGGAAGCCGUUAAGUUUGCCGCCUGGGAAGUACGUACGCAAGUAUGAAACUUAAAGGAAUUGGCGGGGGAGCACCACAAGGGGUGAAGCCUGCGGUUCAAUUGGAGUCAACGCCGGG
rnacentral:rRNA from 1 species